rnacentral:rRNA from 1 species
GACGAACCGUGCGAACGUUGUUCGGAUUCACUGGGCUUAAAGGGCGCGUAGGCGGCUCGCCAAGUCAGGGGUGAAAUCUCCCGGCUCAACCGGGGAACAGCUUCUGAUACUGGCGGGCUGGAGGGAGGUAGGGGCGGAUGGAACUUCCGGUGGAGCGGUGAAAUGCGUAGAUAUCGGAAGGAACGCCGGUGGCGAAAGCGAUCCGCUGGACCUCUUCUGACGCUGAUGCGCGAAAGCCAGGGGAGCAAACGGG